GUGCGGCAGCCGCUUCAGAUUGGCGGGCUCCAAGGACACGUGAGUGGGCAGCGUCGCCGUUUCUCUUUUGUUGGACGGUAUUUUCCCAGCGCCACGCGGAGCCUGGGCCAUUAUGAGCUCUGCAUUUCCAGGACCCGGUCACUGUUCAGGACACUGUUCCAGCGCAGUUGUCAUUAGCCAUGUCUCAGGGAUCAGUGACAUUCCAAGAUGUGGCCAUUGACUUCUCCAAGGAAGAGUGGGGAUUCCUGAACCCUGCUCAGAGAGAUUUGUACACAACUGUGAUGUUGGAGAAUUAUCAGAACCUGGUCUGGCUGGGACUUUCCAUUUCUAAAUCUGUGAUUUCACUGUUGGAGAAAAGGAAACUGCCUUGGAUAAUGGGAAAAGAAGAGAUAAGAGUCCCAUUGCCAGGUGAGUAUGAAGAACCAACUAGCGGGGGUAAGCCAUGUAUAUGAAAGGCAUACCAGUUCUAGAGGGCAAAGCACCUUUAAGAUGUGAAGGAUGCUGUCUUCCACUGUUCCAUACACAUGUAGACAUUGAGGCUUCUUGAGUUUGAGUUCCUAAAAGGAUACUGAUCACCCACCGUUUAUAUCUACUUUUAUAAAUGCCUGUGGGCUCAGAAAUUACAGGUGUGUCUUUCCUCUUUGUCUAUGGUAAGCUUCUUUUUAAACUCAGUAUCCUGUUUCUCCAACUUUUUUUUUAUUUGAUUCUUUGAUACUGUUGUUUUCUUUACUGUAAAAUGACUUAUAUAGUGGUCUGAUUGUUUGAAUGGGUAUAUUCAUUGGUCAUUUAUUCAUUAACAUUCAUUCCUUUUUUAAAACUAAUCAACUGUUGAGAGUCCCCAAGACCACCUCCAGGUUCAAGGACUUACUAGGAGUAGUCACAGGAGUCAUGAUAUCGUUGUAUUCGUGCCUGCAAAGUUAGUGAAUAGUCUAGAAGAACACCAUCAUUCUGAUGCCAGCUGAAAAGUAUGGGGAUCCCCAAGACCACCCUGAAUUCUGACAUGAAUUGCAAAUCCAAAGGUCCCCAAGAUAAUUAGGUUUGAUAAUUCACGAGGACUCACAGAACUUACUGAACUCACUGAAAGCUGUUAUACUCAUGGUUACAGUUUAUUACCAUGAAAGGAUACACGUUAAAAUCAGCCAAGGAAAAAGACAUGGGCAGAGUCUAGGAGGACUUCCAUUUAUGCCCCUACAGUGGAGUCAUGGACAGUGUUAACUCCUCCCAACAAUGAUGUGUGGCAAUAUGCACAGUGUUUGACCAACCAAGGAAGCCUACCUGACCCUUGGUAUCCAGACUCCUCAUUAGGGCACCAUCAUGUAGACAUGGCUGACUGCUCAUGUCUCACCUCAGGCUCUAGCCCUUCUGGAGGUCGCCCUAAUAUCAUGUGACCUGGAGCCCCACAUAAAUCACAUAAUUUGACUCUCUGGUGUGGUCCAACGCCCAUAGGCAAAUAGAGACACUUUUAUCAUGCAGGAUAUUUCAAGGUGUCAGAGAUUACCUCCCAGGAGCCAAGGGCAAAGACUAGACCUCUCUUUGGAAAAGGUUAAAUUCUUGACUGCACAAUGGCUAAGUUUUAUUUUAGCAAAAGAUAUAAAGCAAAAUCAGCAAAGGUAAGCUCAUAAGGCAAGGUCUGGAGGAAAUCAGGAAUGUGCUUCUGAGAUUCCUCUCCCAGUGGAGUCACAAAGGAGGUACUUAAUUCCUCUAGCAGCAACUUGUGUGGUAUGUGUGAGAUGAUAGCAGCUAGAUAACAUUAGACUUAGUGCCAAGGAAUUUUACUUAGGGAAGCCAUAAAGGUACCCUCUGCCUAGUGUAUGCUGAAAAUCCAGACUCUCAAAACGAAAGUAGGUGUUCUGCAUAAACCACAUCAUCUGCACAAAUAGUUUAGGUGUGAUAAGUCACUUGUACCAGUUCCAGGAAUGGUAGAAACCCUCCUGAAACCCAAGUUCCUUAGAGGUCAAUCGGGCCAACCUUGUAAGCACACCUUUCUUAGGAGAACAGUCUCAAAGCCUGCUGUGUUCUUUUCUGAGUUUGUUUAAAGGUAUAGAAACUUGCAGUGAGUUUACAUUUGAGUGAGGGGAUUAAGACUUGCUUCCACAAACCUUGUGCAAAGUAGAAACUAAUUAACUGGUAGAAACUAAUUAAAACGGGUUAUUUUGGUGUGUGGGAGUUAGUAGAGUUUUAGCUUCAAAACUUGGUGAUAUUUAAAGUUACAGAAAGUGAGGAAAUGAAGUACAUUUCUGCUAUAUUUAUUUAGGGAAUUGUUAGAAUUAAGAUAUGUCUUGAACUGUCCAUUAGAAAUAUGUAACUGGAUCUCAAUAGUAAUUCAGAAUUGGAGAUGAACGUGUUUUCUAUAUGUUUUGUGGUGAUGGACCCUUAGGAAUGGAAGAAGUGAAUUGCCUAUGGAUAGCAGAGAAGGACUGAUUGAUUGGUAGCAGGAGAAACAGGAAACAUCCUGUGUUAGAAUUCCAGGGCCUCACUAUUCAUGAAGAAAAGGUAACCAAAGUAAGACCAAGACAUUAGAGUAAGACAACAUUGAAAGGUAGUUGGUAUCUGACUAAUUUAUGGUUCUUGCUAAAAUGGAUAUUUCUGUGGUGCAAAGGAUGUAGAACAAUGAGCUUGAAUCGUCACAUUUGGUACUAAUCUUUUAUUUGAGUUCAUUUUAAAAAUCAUUAGGCCUUGUGGUGGAGGUCCCCUGUAAAACCAGCUCCUCUUGCACCCUUCAUGAGGUUAGCCCUGUCCACUGUCUACAUACACAGUUCAAUCUGGAAAAAACUGGGAUUCCCACAUGUUUAGUGCAUGAAGAACAGGCCAGACUCAGUCAUUUGUAAUUGACCACGGUUCUGUUCUUAACUUUUACAUCAAGCACAGCCAGCAUCUCUGCCCUUUAGCUCCUAAACAGUAAAAAUAACUACAGGUUAGAAGGGUAUUAUGUUCGUCUUUGUCGCAAAUCCUAUUGCCUUUCUUUAAUUUUUGAUCAUGUUGAUCAGCCUUCCUGUAAUGCCAUUUUGGCUUCUGCAGUUCCCCACAGUACAUGUUUUCUUAAGCUCUAAAUCUGUUUCCUUGCAGCCUGCACUUGACCCUCUUAUUUUUCCUGUUUGCUUAGCGAUCUCUUCAAUCUCAAAAUGUCUGUAUCAACGAGAAUUCAUGCCCUGUCUGCCCCUGAUUAUAUGAUUGAUUUUAUUGUUUCUAUAUUAUGUCAAAUUGUUUUCUGCAGUAAACUAACUGGAGGUGCCUUC